AGGGUCCGUCAAGGUGGAUGUCCUUGCGUACAUGAAGGCGAUGAAGGACGUAAGUGAACGUAAACUAGGGUAAGCUCACAAAAAGCAUUGACCCCUAGGUCUCCGAAUGGGGAAACCCGGCUGUGGAAGACACAGUCAUCAUUAAGUGAAUACAUAGCUUAAUGAAGCAAGACCCUGUGAACUGAAACAUCUAAGGUACC
rnacentral:rRNA from 1 species